rnacentral:rRNA from 1 species
CUGGCGGUAUGCUUAACACAUGCAAGUCGAACGGCAGCAUGAAAGUUCUUAGGAACUUUGAUGGCGAGUGGCGGACGGGUGAGUAAUGCAUAGGAAUCUACCUUGAAGUGGGGGACAACCUGGGGAAACUCAGGCUAAUACCGCGUAAUCUCUAAGGAGGAAAGCUGGGGACCGCAAGGCCUGGCGCUUUAAGAUGAGCCUAUGUCAGAUUAGCUAGUUGGUGGGGUAAAGGCUCACCAAGGCAACGAUCUGUAGCUGUUCUGAGAGGAUGAUCAGCCACACUGGGACUGAGACACGGCCCAGACUCCUACGGGAGGCAGCAGUGGGGAAUAUUGGACAAUGGGCGAAAGCCUGAUCCAGCAAUACCGCGUGUGCGAUGAAGGUCUUCGGAUUGUAAAGCACUUUUAAUUGGAAAGAUGGCUGAUGUGUUAAUAGCACAGUCAGUUGACGUUACCAAUAGAAUAAGCACCGGCUAACUCUGUG